rnacentral:rRNA from 1 species
UACGUAGGGGGCAAGCGUUGUCCGGAUUUAUUGGGCGUAAAGAGCUCGUAGGCGGUUUGUCGCGUCUGCUGUGAAAACUCGAGGCUCAACCUCGGGCUUGCAGUGGGUACGGGCAGACUAGAGUGCGGUAGGGGAGACUGGAAUUCCUGGUGUAGCGGUGGAAUGCGCAGAUAUCAGGAGGAACACCGAUGGCGAAGGCAGGUCUCUGGGCCGCAACUGACGCUGAGGAGCGAAAGCUAGGGGAGCAAACGGG